UACGAAGGGGGCUAGCGUUGCUCGGAAUCACUGGGCGUAAAGGGUGCGUAGGCGGGUCUUUAAGUCAGGGGUGAAAUCCUGGAGCUCAACUCCAGAACUGCCUUUGAUACUGAGGAUCUUGAGUUCGGGAGAGGUGAGUGGAACUGCGAGUGUAGAGGUGAAAUUCGUAGAUAUUCGGAAGAACACCAGUGGCGAAGGCGACUUACUGGACACAUAUUGACGCUGAGGUGCGAAAGCGUGGGGAGCAAACAGG
rnacentral:rRNA from 1 species